rnacentral:rRNA from 1 species
GUGAGGAAUAUUGGUCAAUGGGCGUAAGCCUGAACCAGCCAAGUCGCGUGAGGGAUGAAGGUUCUAUGGAUCGUAAACCUCUUUUAUAAGGGAAUAAAGUGUGGGACGUGUCCUAUUUUGUAUGUACCUUAUGAAUAAGGAUCGGCUAACUCCGUGCCAGCAGCCGCGGUAAUACGGAGGAUCCGAGCGUUAUCCGGAUUUAUUGGGUUUAAAGGGUGCGCAGGCGGCACGGCAAGCCGGCGGUCAAAUCGCGGGGCUCAACCCCGCCCAGCCGUCGGAACUGCCGGGCUAGAGUGGGCGAGAAGUGCGCGGAAUGCGUGGUGUAGCGGUGAAAUGCAUAGAUAUCACGCAGAACUCCGAUUGCGAAGGCAGCGCACCGGCGCCCUACUGACGCUCAGGCACGAAAGCGUGGGUAUCGAACAGG